rnacentral:rRNA from 1 species
UACGGAGGAUCCGAGCGUUAUCCGGAUUUAUUGGGUUUAAAGGGUGCGUAGGCGGUUUGAUAAGUUAGAGGUGAAAUGUCGGGGCUCAACCCCGAAACUGCCUCUAAUACUGUUGGACUAGAGAAUAGUUGCGGUAGGCGGAAUGUAUGGUGUAGCGGUGAAAUGCUUAGAGAUCAUACAGAACACCGAUUGCGAAGGCAGCUUACCAAACUAUAUCUGGCGUUGAGGCACGAAAGCGUGGGUAGCAAACAGG